rnacentral:lncRNA from 1 species
GCGGCGGCGAGCGGCAGCCGGGAGAGAGGGCACGGAGAGGCACGGGAGCGGCCGGGCGGACCGUGCCGCAAAGAAAGACCCGGAGAGAAAGUGGAAGUGCCGCCGGGAGAGAGGUGGCUGUGCCUCGGCUGCGUCUACCCGAGGUGAGUGCCGGGCUGGGGGGCACAGCCCACGUGAAGGAGGCUGAAGGAAGCACGGCUCGGAAGGUGAUUUUGAGCGAGUGUGGUUGGUGUGUGGAUGCUCUUUUAUUUCUCCUUUUUUUUUUUCCCUUUUUUUCCUCAUUUAUUUCUUUUCUCCCUCUCUCUCCCCCCGCUACCCCUCCUCUUUUUUUUAAAAAAAAUCUUUUAACGUUUAUUUAUUCGUAUUUAUCCUCUGUGCUCGCGUCCCGGCAGCCCGGCGCCAGCCCUGCCCCGGUGCGGGCGGGGGAUGAGGGGUGCCGGGCUGGGGGAGCCCUCCCGCGCGCGUCGGGGCCGGCGGGCAGCGGGGCGGGGAGGGGGUUUCCUCAUCGACACCGAUUUUCGUCGGUAGAGUCAGUCGGUUCCAUCGCAGCGUUUUGAGGAAGCGUGCCUUCCGAAGGGAGUUAAGGGGUAGUGCUGGGUGCCGGGCUCGCUUCCAACCAGGUGGGUCCGUGCCGGGCUGGGGUCCCUCGGUCCGGCUGCGGUCACUGGGGGUUGGGGCUGCAGCCCUUAGAGCCCCUUCAUGAAGGUGCGGGGAGUGCUGGCUCUGGGGGGGUUGCGUUGGGUGAAAAUGGCCCUGUCCUCCCUCCCUCUGGAAGAUGCCGUGUUAGAGUCAUCCGGGAAGAAGAGGAGGAUGAUGUGAUUUAUAUGUUUGCACUGUGAACUUUCUUGCUGUGGGAAACUUUUGGACUUCUGGUUCUAAGUGGAAGACCUGUUCUGCCAAGCCCGCUGUCAGCCCCCGCAGCAGGCAGGGGUGAGUGAGGCCACAGCCCGGGGCUCCGGGCAGGGCUGGAUUCUAGGUGGAAGCUCAAGCAGACCUUGGUCCCUGCCCUUCUGCUCCAUCAUCCUUGUGAGACCACGCUCUCCUCUGGAGCACUGCGUUCUCCAAGAGUUCUGCUGGCUCCAGUCGUUGUCAUCAGUAUUUUAAACCAAAAAUGGAGCAGGCAGCGCUGAUGCAGUAACCUUUACUUCAGGAAUGUUUUUUUUUUUUUUGGAUGAAAAACCAUCACCUUUUGUUGAUUAUAGAAAAAGUUUAGACUUGGUUGCCAGUGUGUGAGAUGUGGCCCGAGGGGGAGAAAAGAACGUGGGUAUGUACAGAAGGUUCAGAGCGAUGGGACAAGUUCUCUUGGCUGGACUAUUGUUGGGGAGCAGCAGGGAUGCCAUUAACAGCACCAGUAAAGGCUGGGAUUAGGGUGAUUGGUGGAGCAGAGCUCUGAACUGUUAAAGUGAUUUUGUGUUACAGUAGCAUUCAAGAACUCCCAGCUGUAAAUCACAUUAUACAAAGAAAAAGCCAGUCCUUGGCCUGAAGGGAUGACAUAGGUACAGCAAGCAAUUUGUAAGAGGAAGGAACGGAGGGGAAGCGAUUUGUCUGGCGUUACGCAGGUUAGACCAGAACUGAAAGUUUCCAGGUUGAAACUGGCUCUGUAUAUGUGUCUGUUAUAAUGUUGGUUCAUUGUGAGCUCAGUCUUCCUUGAUUAUCGAUUAGCGUAGCAAGCAUUAGCAGUAAUGUUUGAAGUACAGUACGCAGAACGUGUGUUUGGUGCAGAAAGUGAGACAUGAUCAAAAUCUUCUAAUUGAAAGAUCAAAAUACUUCCAGCUGGGUGUAGCAUACAAAUUGAUUUCAGUAAACGUGCCUUGGGCGUACUAUGUUUUUAAAUUGUACAGUAGGAAUUAAACGGCGCUUGAGUGGUUUGGAAUUUGUAAUGUUGGUUGAGGCAACUGACCAUCAUGGAACAGUGGUUUAUUGUGCUGCUUUGAAAUCGCUCUUGCGUUUUAUGCUAGCAUGAUGUUACUUUAAGUAGUACCAUUAUUUCAAACCGGCAUAAUGAGAUGAAAAGCACUUGGCAAGCACUCCUGUAAAACAGCAUUUGAGUGCUAAAUUCAGAUCUUUGCUUGAAAGUAUCUAUAAAAUACCAUGCUUAGGGUGUCAUACCAAGGAAAAUAAGCAUCUAGGUUAAAGCCGUCCUAAAACAUUUUUGACUGAAUGACAGCUUCAGCCACAUUUUAACUCUUUGGAGGGGAAUGAUUUCUGAGCUUUGACGUGGAAACUGACAAAAUGAGUGUGAAAUGAGCGCCUGUAAUAAGUGGGACACUCUAAUGAGAUGGGUUGCAGAUCUAAACGUGGGCCUCUUUCGUCUCACCUGGUUGUCCAGACAACAGGUUAUUUCAGAGUAUGAUUUGAUGGGUUGUUUUUUCAGCUUCAUCUUCUUUCUACUACUAACUGUUACCAAGAUAAUUGUAGCUAAUGAACAGAGGACAGUGUUGUAAUCCUGCACGAAAUUAGCAGUAACUGGGGAUGCUGUUGAUGGUAUCUGGAAAUACCGUGUUGUCACAUGUUGUCAACAACAACAGCUGCUGGAGACACUUGCCAUUUUGUGGGCCAGGCCUGCUGGUUGAAGACUCUGCCAGUUUCACAUGAAGUACAGUUUGUUGCAUCUUCCUGAAGGGGGAGGGGAAGACAAAAUUAUCAGUGCAAUGCAAAAAACAUUCCUGGCAAGCAGUUAACUCUAGCCCUUGCACUUAGAUCUCUUAAUUUUCCCUAAAGUGUGUGUGUUUUGUGUGCUGCCAAGUCUAGCUGUUAAUUCAUUUAGCUCCUUAGAGACGUGUCACAGCAGUAAAAAGAGGGGAAAAAAGGAAAAUAAGCAGAAACAUCCCCAGCAAUGUAUAUAUUGCUACUGACACAGCCUAUUUGUCGAGUGAUUUGUAAUAUAUUGUGUUCUGAUUCGUGGUCUGUCUUAUUGUAUGUACAGAAGAGGAGGGUUCGGUUACGCAUUUUGAUUUUUGCUCCUUCUCCCUAAAUGUUUCACUGUAAAGUGCUGCUACCCCUACUGCCUGGAACUGUUAAUGCAAACGUGACCUGUCUUUGGGUAUGGUAUUCUCUUCCCUGGAAUAUUUGAGACCUUAGAAAGGUCUGUGGUGCACCUUUAGAGACUGUAGUUCCCCUUGGGGCUGGAAAACAGCCUUAGGAAGCUGUGCAGGACCAGGAUUCAGAUUUUGCUUGUGGCGAACCUUUGUCUGGGCUACCGAGUGAUUUAGCUCAGAUGUGGCCAUUGUGUUACUGGGCUUUGUUGUUUUUUUUUUUUUUUUCCCCCAAAAUGAUUUGCAGUACAAUUCCGAGAAAGGCUUUUGUGUCAGCAGAACUUGCACUUUCUGAGGAAGCGCCCUGCUUCAGGCAGAAUAUCUCUGGUCAUCUCCAGUGUUAAUGAAUAUUUGAGUAGAGGGGGCUGAGCGUAUCCACUGGAAAAUAAUUGAGGUUGCUGGAAGUUGCGGCAGGAGAAGAGUAAUGUUUAAAACACUCAGCAAUCUUCUGUGCUGUAUGAAUUUUCAGGAAGGGUACGAUCGUGGUUUAUUUCUAGUGGAUGAGGCAAAUACUCGGUUUUUGCUGGGUUAAUUGCUGCAGCGUUAAACAAAAAGAGAUGUUAAAUUGUGAAGUUAAAAAAGAGGUCCCAACCAUGUAGCCUCGCAGGUGGUCUUCAGGGUGGCUGGAAUUAACCGGGAGAUUUGGGUCACGCAGGGGGAAGUAGCUGCUUGUUUCCAGCUAGGCUGAUUCUGGCUUGUCCCUUUCUGGAAUCGCAUAUGAGCAGUGGUGAUAUCAGAUCAGAGCUUCAGUAGCUUCAGAAAGAGGGAAGAGCAUUGUGGGGCUGACACCGGGGUUGACUUCCAUAUAGACGCUGUGGUGACCAGGCUGAUUUUUCUGGUGGUUUUGAGCUCCUCUCGUUGGAGCUGGUGGGAGAAAGAGGAAAUAUGGAAUGUUUCCAAAAAAACAGCUUGAUUUUUUAGCAGCUGACAGUAUCUGGUUUUGAAGUUGAUCUGCACCUCACUUCAAGCAUUGUUUUCCCCUGCAGUGACAGUGGCUGGGUGCCUGUGGCACAGCUGCCUUUGGCAUGUGAAUGUGUCUGGCAGUGAGGAGUGGCUGCUCAGAAAUUUGCCCCAGAGUGGUUGAGCAGUGUGACUUCAGUCCUGGGGAGAUACUGGAAGCUCCCUCUGUCCCAGAGGUGUGAUGCAAGUGUUCCUUGCACUUGUACGUUGCAAUGAGUACAACACUGGGUAGCGAAAUGCAGGUGACAGAUACUGCUUAUGGUUCAGAAGACACAAUUAGUUUUAUGAUGGUCGAUGUCAAAGUAGGAGCGAAAUGUUCCAUAGAAUCAGAAGGUCAUUUGUCACACGCAGCAAUGUUAAGUGAACUGGAAAUAAAUUAAAUAAAUUGGUGAAGAACUUUUCUUGAAUGAACAGAUUUGUCUUUUUUUCCUCCUGAUACCUUAAAAAAAAAAAAAAGUCUGUGCAUCUGCAUUUCUGUGAUCACAGAUGAUUUCAUUUGAGACUAGAAAAAGAUGCAGAAUGUUUGGAAAGACUGUCUUUGGGAUGUGUGGAAUGUCAAUAUAGGUGGUUUUCUUUGGAAGCAGUUAAAUACGUCUCAGCUAAAUAGGCUGUAAAGAAGUUACAACUGUUGCUGUUUGUAUUGUGGUAGUUAACUGUGGAUCAAUUCUCAAGUGAGAUGCCUUUGUAUCAAGUGCUGCUUUAUUAGAUGUAAUAAAAAAACGCCAUCUAUCCUACUAGAUUUAUCUUAGUCUGAGAAAUACCAUGGAGGAGGAGGGAGGACUAGGUAGUGUUGAUGGUUCUAUGUUUUUAUAGUGUCGGCAACUAAAUGCCAUCAUGGAAACUCAAUAAGAGCAAGAGCCCAGGCUUCCUAAGUAAUUGAAAGACAGAGAUGAAUGACCCUCUGGUAUGUGAGGGUAUGGCCGUGUCUGCCAUGUCUGUCUGUUUUGGAGCCAGAGUGGGUGUGCAAAGGAGUCCUUGCCUGUACCUGCACGAGUUGAAUGAAUAGGGUACUGUGGGUGCCUUUCCUUUCCCUUGUGGUGUCCUAGAUGUUAGCAAAAAAGGACAGUUUGGGCAGUUUGUCAGAUCUAGCUUGUAGAUAUAUGUGCGCUGUGUCCUAAUUAGGAGUUUUAUUUAAGGAACAUUAGUGAUUUAACACCCCAAUCUAAUUACUCGUAAGCUUCUUGCUAAUUUUGUAAUUAGCACUGGAGCAAGACAUUUUAUGGUAAAUAUACCCUUAAGGAAUCCAGAACCACUAAUUUCCAAUGUUUAUAGAGAGCUUUAUUUCUAUGACAAUGUUCUGUAUAUAAUGUCUAAAAGGAAAUAGUAAUAUUUGUUCUAUUUUUACAUAAUGGUAAAGACAUGAGCCAAACGUUUACAGAAACUUAAUACAGACAGUCACCACAACCCAAAUGACUGGCUUUUGAACUCUCACUUUUAGGGUCAGAUUCUACUCAGACAUGACUAGCGGAGAAGACAUUCUUGAAUUGCUUUCUACCACAGUUAUCUUUGGCCUUCGAAGUGUGAGAAGAACUCAGGGUGUAAUCAGGAUGUACUGGCCAUGGGCUCUCGUAGUUUACGGCAGCCGAGGCAGCUUUUUUAUAUAUAGAUAGAAAGGUGCAACUUGGAGCAGCUGUAAGCCUGCUAAAAAAAGUGUACUGUGGCCCUAGAAGGAUAAAGCUGUCCUUGUAGCUUGCUACCAGUUAGUCUAUGAUGUAUGGGUCAGAUGAACAGAGAACCUGGCAAAAGAUAUCCUGGCCAUCAAGUAAGUGUUCGUAGAAGUUUCACUUCCACAGAAGGUCUCUCAGGUGUUCUCUUGCUUUUGCUAAGUUGGCUUGCUCUUGUCAGAAAUUCAUAAAUGUGACAGAUUCUUGGAAGGCAAUGCGUGCUUUGCUGAACUAAAGCCUAAUAAUUUGGUUUCUUAAAAUGCUAGGUAUUAGUGUGUUUAGAGAUGGGGAGCUUUGUAACCAGUCUGGAGUUAAAUACUAUAAAUAAGGUAUAUAUAGAGAGAGAUCUGUUUAUUAAUUUAAUUGAUGUAGCUGAAAAAGAAACAAACAAGCUCUUAGGCUGAGAAUACCUUAUUCCCUUAUUGGACUGAUGAAGCAAUUAAGCGUAAAAGCUUGUCGCUUGUCUUCAAUGCACAGCAGUUGUAGCAAGCUUUUAAACUAAUCUUUUGCUUGUUUGUCUUUGUACAACAAAAGGGUUCACUUUCCAGCAGACCCGCUUUGUGCUUGGGGAAUGCUUGACUGUGGAUGUGCACUUAGCAAAAAAGCAGAAGGAGUCACUUCAGAGUGCGAGAUCCUGCCCUGCACUGGCGAUUCCUCAGUCCUGUCACAUCUCUUCCUUUCCCAGCAGGACAUGCUAGUCUACAUCCCUGUGUGCCAACACAGCCACAGAAAGGAAGGGAUACAAAAAACGCUGCAGGCUACUCUUCUCUGCUUCCACUUCCUACCACCGGCACUGCUUUUGGAUGUCAAGUGGCCCAGUACUUUCUCGACCCCUUUCACUCUUUCACACUGAAUGUUUUAAUGUCAAAUACUUUGGUUUUUGUUUAGUACCGGGUUCAAGUUUCCUGAUUGUUUGCGGUGCACAUAUGCUAAUUAAUUCAGUAUCCCUACUAGAGAUAGUGAAGUAGUUCCUUCUGAAGAGCAACGGGGAAGAAAAAGGCAUUGUUGGCUGCCUAAUUUGCUGCAAGGCCUGCUCUGGACAAACAGUAUGGAUACAGGCCCUGCCAAGUCUCCGGCUUCCUCUGCUUGUGACAUUUCUCUAGUGCUCUCCUGGGAGGUCUUCUGCCCUUAACUGCUCCCUCAUGCCUGCGAUAGAGAAAACUUGGAAGAGCUCCCAAGUGUCAAACCUAGCUGGAUUUUGUUGCGAGCACUUAUAGUGAAGAGCCCGAUGGUGGCUGUAGCUUACUGCUUGGAGGGGUCGGGGAUAGCGAUGGCAUCAGUGAUUCCAAUGCUGUAUCAAGUGAGACUUUGGUAUUUAAUGAUCUUUUUUACAAUUACAGACUUAAUCUUUGGCCUCCUGUGAAUUGAAAUAUUGGCACAAACGGCACACAGGAGUUGUAGAAUGCUCUAGUGUACAGCAGUUUGGGAGAUCCCAUCCCAGUGAAUAAAGGGUGAGGAAGCCAAGCUGGUUUGUGGCAACUUUCAUCCCCAGAGACUUAGUUUUUAUAGGUUAAUAGGUUGAAUGGUUUUUACUUGUGUGCUUGUUUGACAGUCUAACUCCUAUCUAGGCUUUCUAUUUCUGUUCUUUCUGCUAUUUUUGUUAUACGGUUUUCCAAGAAUGGAGAAUACUACUUUCAAACUGUCUCCUUAUUAGUUUAGAAUGCAGCUACUGCAAGUCUUAUCCACUAGAAAGAGCAGUCAAACGUCCUCAUUAUAGUAACAUUUCAAAGCCUUCAGGCUUCUGUGGCGUAGGUCCCAUUUAGACGUAUAAUAAAUGACAGUCCUUGCCCCACAAAAGCUUUAUGUCUAUCAAAUGUGAGAAGAACAGGGGGAAAUUAGGCCAUGUCCACAGGGACAAAUGAGAUAGCAAAAAUAAUUUAAGUCACAGGAGUUUCAUUAGCUAAGAAUAAUUCAGUUUCGGGAUUUCUGCUGUAUAUAGUAAGUGGUCAUUAGACUAGCUAAUCUUAAUAUUUUUAAAACUGUGAUUUAAAUAAAAUGCAUAGGAUUUUAGAUAAGUCAGUUCAGUGCCAAUGUGCGGGUAGGAAUUUAGUCAUCCAAGACGAGCUGGGAGCAGAGGGAGGGAAGGUUAAAGCUGGUCUACGGGAUAAAGCCACUUACUCCUUUGAGAUAGUCUGUGGAUAUGUCAAGUCAUGCAUGGGAACAGCCACAGCCCUUCAUGAAACAAUGACCUGGCAGAUGUGGUCUCUCUAUUUUGUGAGGAUGCUGGGCUGUGGCAGUGUGCUGGAGCUGUUGGCACUGCUUUGUCUGGUCUGGAAAUCAAAGAAACGUAUACCAGGAGAAAACUGCAGGCCAUUCAUCUUCACUGUAAAUGUUCCUUAGCUCACGAUUUAAUGCUCUGUCCUCUUCUGUGUUGGGGCUAGGGACAUCUUGUGUGAGGUGGAAGGGGCCUGUCGCACUGGUAGGCUGGCUUUGUAUUCUGAAAGGUUUUUUGUAUUCUUAAACAGAGUGGCAUUUGGGAGUGGCUACGGGUUGGGCCCAAGUGUCUUUCUAUGUCUGUGUUUAAAUAUUAGCAGAUCAUCUUCCAAAGGAAGGGCAGCAGUGUUGUGGCUGCUGUUGCAGUAUGUUUGCUGAUCUUGCAGCUGUGGAGGGAGCCGCUUCCUUUUUUUCAUCUCGUUGGUAGGCUGGGAGCAUGGCUGUGAAUUCCAGCUGGGUUUAGACAUGGGUGGAGCUUGCUGCUAGGGAAAGACAGGUCUAGGUCACCAAAAAUACAGUUACGGACAAACAGCAUGAGGUUGAAUCAAAAGCACAGUGUGGGUAGGGCUAGAAAGCAUUAGUGUGUAGUUGUGUUGCUUUCCGCAUCUUCAUUGUACUGUUUCAGCAUUCUUGGCUUAAUUGUUGUUAGGAGAUACGGGCAAUUCACAUCACCACUCGUAAGAGUAAAUUAAAAUGACCAAUAUUGUUUGGUCUCGUUUUAUUUAUGAUGCAUACUCACAAAAAACAGAGGGAAAAGAUGUCAGGGAAUUUUAAUGGAGAGCAGAUCAGACGUAACACGAUGUACUUCAGCUUUGGUAUUUAAGCAUGGGAUGUAGGUGGGAGUUGUGCUAACCUGGAAACCGUUGGAACUGAAUAAAUUGGAAUACUUUGUGUAUAUGUGUAAUAAUAUAAUAGCCUUCAAAUUGCUCUCAAAACCCUUCGUUUAUCCUUGCUAGCUUAAAAAAAGCUACAGAUUUGCUUGCAGAUCAUUUCUUAUUGGCACUUGUUAAAUUUCAGGCAGCAUCUGACAGCUGAAAACUGCAAGUGCCAUUUUGAGCUCCCAGCUGGUGCUGCCACUGGCUACUGAUGACCUUUCCUCUUCCCUUCCACGGGCAUAAUGGUUCAGAAGUGAGAUAAUAAGAUAAGAUGCAUUAAAGGAAAAGAGAAAGAAAACCAAUCUCAGCCCACACCACCCAUCCUUCAUUUUGUGACUCUCCUGUCUGGUUUUUUUUUGAGAAUGCAGGCAGUGACUGAUUGUGGCUCUUCUGCCUCAAACAGCAUUUAAAUUCCUUUUCAGAAUGAUUCUGUCAGAGUAUUAGAACGACUGUUGAAAAUCAGGGCCUGAAUGAAGGUUAAAGUGCCUAUCAGAAAAUAAAAAUAUAUAUAAUAGUAACUGAGAUAAAUGGUUAGUCUUGUUCCACGUUAAGUAUUUUUUCUAGUGUUGUUUAUUGCUGUUAUCUCAGUAAUUAGCCUGGGAUCAAAGAUUUUUUUCUUCUUCCUCCUCCCCAUAGCCCCCUUAAGCAAUGCGACUUCUUCCUGCUGUAACUUUACAAACCACCUAGGGACAAUCUGUUACAGCGUCCUCAACAGUGUUGAGUAGAGUAAAGCUAUUGUCAUUAGCUGUCUAGUUAGCAAAGUCUCAGCACGGAACUGUUGAGGACACGAGUAUGUCUUCAUUUGUUUAAUAGAUGUUUUGAUCCAGUUAUAGAGAUGGCAUUUAACUGUGUUGUGGCUUACAAAUCCUGUGUGAGUUAGUCUUAAGUGACCAAAAUCAAUUGAAGAUGUCUAAAGACUGUGUGAUUGAUGGACAUGGUUAUGUUUACAGAAUAGUUAGGUUUUAAAAGAAUUCAAGGUUUGAUGAAACGAUAGCCAUGGGGUUAUUUAUCUGAAAGAAAGAAUUGCUGGUAGCUGUUCUCCAUCAGCAUGUGCCUUCUUCUGUCCUUUUAAACAUUUUUUUUCACUGGUGGAGUUAAUUCUACUGUCGUAGCAAUGCAGACCAACUUAGGCAAAAUUAAUACAGUAGUGUUCCUUGAUGCUUAACUGACCUCUUCUGAAUUUUAUUUAAAAAGAGUUCUCAUGCUAUUAGCUCACAUGGAGAUCUGACUGUUUGUGCUGGAGGAUGCUGGAAACUACUUCCAUUUUGUUUUAAUAUGUUCCUGCAAAGGAAAGUUAGAUUUUGCUGGUGUAAGUUAGUUUUAAGGAGUCAACAAAGUCAGUUUAAGGGGUGUGGAAAUUUGGAUUAAUAUCCUGAGCUUUUCUAAGGAACUGUUUGAGCAUGAAAUAGUCCAAGACUGCCUUAAAUAUUUCAUUCAAGGUUACACUGGUAGUUUCACUGCAAAUUGUAUGUGCCCUGGGAAAGUAAGAGAACUGCAUAUGGAUGCAUUCACUGAACUGUGCUUAGUUAAUGCACUGAUGUGGCUGGUAUUUAAGAUGUGUUUGGGCUAUAUUUUGCUUUAGAGCAAAGGUAUUUGUAAUAUCAAUAUGACUAAUGUACUGUGGGAUGCAGCAUGCCAUCCUCUCUCAUGUGCAUGUUAUGGCAUGAAAAGAGAGAAGGUGAAAAACAUUUUUAUGUGGAUCUUUCUGUGUUUAAAUUAUAAGAUAGACCAACACCUCUUUCAGCCUUUGUGCUCUACAAGAUGAAAGCAUAAGCAGCCUAUACCUAUGAUGUGACAAACAGGGCCACCAUUUCAGUGUCCCAUAGCUAGCAUGCUAAUGAUAGAGCUCAGUCAAUUCUGGGAUGCUUAUACUCCAUCACAAAAAUUAAAGUAUUUAUUGGUGUUGGGAGUACCUUCCCCCAGUGCUGCUCAGACACUGGGAUGUAACUUCCCAAUUCCUAACUGACCAUGUGACUGUGUGUUUGUCAUCCUCAGACAUUAAAGCCACGAAAGCUUGUUUGUAAUUAUCAAGCAUUGCUGUACGUAUCAUUUUGAUUUAGCAGAACCUAUCAUGGAAGUCAUCCUGUGUGUGAUACAAAGAAGUUUUUCUUUUAGUAGUAUGUGGUUCUUAAACUCUAGCAAGAAUCUCUUCUGCAGUUGAAAGUGCAGAGUUUACAAAGUUCACAUUCUGUGUGGAAAUGUACUUGUUAGUGAAUUUUAUAAGAUAAAAUGACCAGCUGUCAUAAAUUUUGUUAGUUUGUGUCCAGAGCUGCAGCACUCUGUUAAUGUGGAAAAAAAAAGAAAAAUCCUGUACGUGUACUUUAGCAAUUUGUCAUUGCUUUUCAAGCUUAUUAACUCAUUAAGUAGCAUUUAAUGAGGAUAACCACAAAGUAAUUAAUUUAUACAGUAUGUUUAUUGCUUCCCUAAUGCAUUUAUGUAUCAAAUUUAGAGCUCCACAAUGAAUACGUUAAUCUAUUUUUAUAUUUCACACGCAUUUUGUUUACUAUACAUAGUAAUAAUAAAAAUGCUUCUUCAAGGUCUUUAUUCCGAUCUACGUACUGAGUGUAGGCAUAAAAGGCCUGGGAGGCAUGGCCUGUGAGGAGAGGCUGAGGACACUGGGCUGUACAGUCUGAAGAAGAGGAGGCCAAGAGAUGACCUCAUUGCUCCCUGAGGAGGGGAAGAAGAGGGAAGUGCUGGGCUCUGCUCUGUUUCUGGGAACUGAUGGCAGGACACAUGGAAAUGCCACAAAGCUGCACCAGGGCAGGGUCAGACUGGGCACUGAGAAACAUUUCUUUGCCAGGAGGGUGGUCAAUCAAUGGAACAGGCUUCCUGCAGAUGUAGCUGAUGCACUGUGCUUGUAGUUAUUCAAGAGACAUUUGGACAACACCCUCAAUAACAUGCUGGAACUUCUGGUUAGCACUGAAGUGGUCAGGCAGUUGGACUUUCAAAGAGCACUGAGCCCCUUCCAGCUGAACUAUUCAAUUCUGUACGGUGUUCAAGCAUGGUGCAGAGCUAGGUUGCCUUAGAAUGCACUCUAACAUCAAAGCUUGUGGAACUCUCUGUCGUUUUUAAAAUUCUGGGGAUUUUCUUGCAUCUGGGAAAAACUGUCCACAGUCACACUGGGAAUCUCCUUGAAGGUUCUCUGUGGAGGAACUUAUCUUUUUUUUUUUUUUCUUAGAGCCAAGCAGGGGAGAUUGAGGAAUUGAGUACUAUGUUAUAUUGAAACAACCUAUUUGUCAGCAAGUAAUUACAUUGGAUGUAGGCGGCAAGGUUUGGUAGCAGAGGGGCUGUGUGGGUGGCAUCUGUGAGAUGAGGCUUGGGUCUGCCCCACGCUGGACACAGUGAGUUUCAAUCAGCUUUGGUAGCCCCAGUGCAGGACAUAGUGCAAGCAGGAAGGAGCAGCAGAGGGGAACUGUUAAGCCAGGUCCCCAUCCCUCUGCUCUGUGUGGAGAGCAGCAGGGGAAGUAGAAGAGGUGUGAAUGAAGGGGAGUGAUGCUGGGCCUAGGAAGAAUGGAGAGCUGAGAAAAAAGUGUUUCAGAUUUGUCUUCAUUUCUCACUAUCCUGCUCCAUCUAAAUUGGCCACGAAUUAAAUUACGUUUCCCUUAGUCAAGUCUGUUUUGCCAGUGAUAGUAACAGGUCUUUUUGUAUCUGGACCUGUAACUUUUUCCACCUUAUUCUCCCUCCCUCCUCGGUUGAGUGGGAGUGAUGGAGCAACUGUGGGGGCAUCUGCCAGCUAGCUAAAGUCAACCUGCCACUAAUAUCUACACAAUAAUAUAUGGACUACCAAGACAUAAAUAUGAAAUCCCACAGUCUACAAAUGAACUUUCAGAUUAAGAACGUCUAUUACAUGUUAAGGUUCACAGUCUAUGGUAUUUAAGAAAAUACUGAACUGAAAUGAAUAUGGAUUUUUCCUUUUACUCCUUUUCAGACAGUAUUAGAAGCACUGAGCCCAUGCUAAUAUGCAAUCAUUAAACUCUUGGACUUUGAUUUUAAAGUAUUAAUUCUACUACUUUGUGAUCAUGCUUAAUUCAAAAAGGAAUAACAUUAUUUUAAGUACUUGGAGAACAGCGAGACUAAAUAUAUUUAAAAAUAUAAUUUUGUGAUAAAAGUUUUAUUUCUUGAGGAGAAAAAUAUAUUGAUCGGCAACAUAAGUUGCAAUGGAGAUCCUGAAUCUUCCUUCCCAAUUAUACCCUAUAGAGUUGAAGUAACAUCUGUCUUCUAUGGCAUUCCAGCUAGUCAAACUGCAGUACUCUUGUAUCUCCACAGAUGUAUGUUUAAUGCACCUUUAUCCUUUUGGUGUGUUACAAAUGUAUCAAUUUUGUGUGACAUUACUGUACAACAUUAAAACAUUAUUUUGGAAAACACGAUGCAUUUUGCUUGACACAGUCAUAGAAUCAUAGAAUGGCUUCGGUUGGAAGGGACCUCAAGGAUCAUGAAUCUCCAACCCUCCCCCCCACCACAGGCAGGCCCACUAACCUCCACAUUUAAUACUGGAGCAGACUGCCCAGGGCCCCAUCCAACCUGGCCUUGAACACCUCCAGGAACGGGGCAUCCACAGCCUCUCUGGGCAGCCUUUUCCAGCAACUCACCAAUCUUGUAGUAAAGAACUUCCCCUGACAUCCAACUUAAAUCUUCCCUUCUUCAACUUAAAACCCAUUUCCUCUUGUCCUGCUAUUAUCUGCCCUUUCAAAGAGCUGACUCCCCUCCUCUUUGUAGGCUCCCUUUAGGUACUGAAAGGCUGCAAUGAGGUCACCCUGCAGCCUUCUUUUCUCCAGGCUGAACAAGCCCAGCUCCCUCAGCCUGUCUUUGUAGGGGAGGUGCUCCAGCCCUCUGAUCAUCUUUGUGGCCCUCCUCUGGACCCUCUCCAACAGCUCCUCAUCUGCAGUCUGCCUUUUGAGGCAUUUUCUCUAAUGGAUUCAGAGCAAAUGGGAACCUCAGCUAUGCAGUCAGAAUUUUUUUUGCAAUUCCCUAUUUUUGUGCAUAUUGCAGCUAAGACUUAAUUAUUAAUCCUUUGAGGGACAUUGUGUUGAUCUUGAUUUACUCUAUUAUGUUGUCUGUGACUAUCUAAUAUUGAAUCCUUCUAAAAAACACAUUAACUGGGAUAAUUUAUUCAGAAUCUCCUUAACAAAGAAAAUUAUAUAUUUAAAGUAAUUCAAAAGAAGCAAAGACUUUCCCUUGUUAAAUAAGGUGUUUUUAGUAUCCUUGUUAUCCUCCUCUCUAAGCACAAAGAAGACUUUAGUAUAUCAUUUAAUAGCAUACAUUGUAGUGGUGUGGAUAUAUUCCCUGUUUAAUCGUAAGCACUGAAACAUAGUAAAUGCUGUUAAUUUUUGCAAAAUGACCAUGUGAGCUGUUUUAUAACCUACUGUGCGAUAGAAAAUAGCAAGCAAAAUCCAUUAAAAAUAGAAUGAACUGCAGAAUUAAAUUCUGUAGCAAUACCUUUGCAACUGAGGUAAAGUUUAUUCCUUUUCAUGCAGGUAUUGGUAUUCCAGAAUGCAGACAUUAAUGUCCUAAUAGACAAAUCUCUCCCUGGUCCAGUCUUUCCCCAAUAGCAUACACAGAAAUCGCCCUGCAUUAUCUCAUCUCUACUCAGACUACUGCUCUACUGAGACCUUGUGCUGCCAAAGCUAGAAGAAUCGACAAAAUUCAUGUGAGCAAUUAUAAACAGAACAGAUACAACUCUCUUUCAAAUUUGUUUGGCUUUGGCUCCCAGUGUCAGCUCUCUGUUUCUUCCAGGCUUUCUGGCCAGUACUUAAAACUGGACAGGAUUCCCUUCGUGAUGAGAUUGAGCCAUUCAUUCUCACAUUGGAUGCAAGAUAAAUACUAUUAGUGUCAGCAAAAUUACAGUGAAGUACACUGUUCCUUCUGUAAUUUGAUUUAGCUCCAGUGUAAAUGCCGUUAGACCAAUUUCUAGAAGCAAAGGCAUGAUCUCAAAAGUCUGUUUACUGUAGUAGUACUACUGUAGAUUUUCAUUUUUUCUCUAAUACGUGUAAUCGGAAGCUCUCUGGAAGUACACUAAAUUAGUGUAUUUUCUUGCCUGUAGACUUCCAAAGCUUAUGUUUAGUUUAAAAGUGGGUUCAAUAAAGAUUGUUUUACUGGCAGAAAGAGCUGCAUUGUAUGCAUGUAGCAUAAAGACAGAAGUUCUCAAAGACAGGACUUUGGCCGUAUGUUUUUGGGGAAUGAGAAUUCUCAGAAAUGGAGGCAAAGAUUUUAAAAUAGCAAGGGCUUUCUGUAAAAUAACUCACUUGUUUAUGUGGAGAAUACACAUCAGACAAACUCCACUGGAAGGAGAUCAGUUGCAUCUCCUUAAAAACAAGGUGUACGAAAGAAGAAUCUUGUCUAUUCUUCAGUUGGUUCUCCUCUCAUAAGUCACUAUUUCCUAAAUCUUCCUUUUCUGUAUACUUAAAAUAGGAAAUAGUUAAGUUUUCUUUAAGGGUUUGCAAUACUGGAUUAAAAAACUGUUUCAGAGACAGGAAAUAAACAGGUCUUUUAGCAACCAUUCAUCAGUCUUCUAUAUGUUUGUACAGUUUGUGUACUCCAGUCUUGGAAUUCAUUUAUUAUUCACAAUUAUUAGCAAUUCAUAGUUGGAAGCUGAUUAAGAUAGUCUUUUUUGGCUAGUAUUUACAUUUCCACUGCUGACUCUGUCUAGCGAAGGCAGGAUUGAAUCUCAGCCUAUAUGUAGUUUGCUCUGAAAAUAAUGCCUCCUAUUUAUUUUCAUGGAAACAACAGCACAUGCAAAGAGCAUAAUAACAUUAUUUGGUAGUGUUUUGUAGCUGAGAAUUUGCUCUAUUUUUCAACGUGGUCACCACCAUUAGCUCUGCGUUUUCACCAGCAAUGAACAAGAGUCUUGCUUGUAGAAAUCUACACCAGUGGAGGCGACCUCGACCUGCUGUUGCCACUGCUGAAACACAUCGCUCACCACCUCACUGUGCUCACAUCCACUGCUUGGUCUUCAUAAACAUUCAGCAAGUGUCGAUGAAUGUCAGUGGGUGCCAUUUUUUUCUGCAUGAAGGAAUUCAGUGACACACCUCUGUUUCAAGCACGCUUCUGUAUCAGGCACCAUCGUGUCAGACUGCCCCUCUGCUACCAUCUGUAAUGGGAUAUUGGCAGGGAAGUUCAGCCUCUACUAUUUUACCACCAACAACUGCUUUUGACAUCGUGGGCUAACAUAAUAAAAUGGGAGGCACUGAAAGAAAAAGUGUUUGCCUUGGAUACCAUACUUGAAAGAAGAUAGGUCUAGAUCAGGCCAGUGUUACCGAUGCAGUGCAAAUCAGAUGGUACAACAGCUAUUGCAUUGUGUUGUACAUCGUUAUGUUCAUGUCGUAAUACAGACUAUAGGAGGAUUGAGGACAUGACUGUGCUGGACCCUGAUUUGUUUUCUGGUUGAACGUUUGUGGAAUAGUGUUUUUUUCACUUCAUAUGCACUGUAAUCUGACUGCAAAAAAAAAAAAAAAAAAAAAGGAUAAUAGUGAGAUGAGAAUUCUUCAGCCUAACAAUCACUAUUAAUAAAUAAAUUAAUAAUAAAUAAGAAAACCUAUUGUGAGUGUGUUGUUCAUGGGUUUGUUGUGCCUACUGGUUUAGAAAAAUGGUGAUGUAAGAUUUAAAGCAGACAUUGUGCAUGUGAGGUUUCUAUGUGGAAACACAAAUAACAUUUGUAAGCUGCUGAAAUAUAUUCCCGUGGAUGGCCUAAGUGAUGCAACCUGUCAAGGUAAUGAAUGAAGUACUGUAGGAAUAUUACAAUGCCUACUGUACGCAGAGAUGAUGUUUCCUAAAUUGAAAAACAGGUUUAUUAAUGGUGUUCUUAUAAAGAUGGGACUAAUCUGGGAUUCUGCUACCGUUUUUAAUUAACAACUCAACCAUUAACGAUCAUGUGGCUCAGCUUGCAAAAUGAGUGAUGAUCAGUUUUUUGUGUGUUGUUUUUUUUUUUUUUUUGCUGCACUGUGUUCACAGCUAUGAAAAGGUGAUUGCAAAGCUCAGAAAGCUAAUUCAGAAACAUAGAUCAAUAUUUCAUUCUGUCCUUUGGCAGUGUUAAUUUAGUCAGACGAAACGAUCACGUAUCCCUAACCUUGUUUGUGAUUUAAGCUUCCUGCUUCUUUGGAAAUAUUAUUCUUUGCCAAAGAGAUGGUUUAAUCUGAUUGUUUUAUGUCAGAGGAAUAUUUUUGGGAGUGAGCAGACUGUUGAAAACACGACACGCUGCUUCUCAGGUCUUGAAAUCUGUAGUUUGUAAAUUGCACAGUAAAGCCCAGGUGAUGAGCAGCGAGGGGAAGGGCAUCAGCUAUGCAUGUUCAGCUUGUUUGGAAGAAAUCUCUCCCUUGCGUAUGUGUGUCUGAGGGCAGACAGUGGAGGUACUGGGCUGGGACAGCCACAAAGCCAUUGUGAACAACCUGUGUGUUAUUGCGGUGAAGCACGCGCGAUGGCUGGCACAGAUGGCAAUGGUACAGAAGGAAGCCCGAUGGGAAGUUUGGUUGAUUUAUCUGCAAUUGCCCCUCCUUUUGUUGUGUCAGUAAUGGUAGAGUGAGGAAACUGAACAAUAAAAACCUGCUUUGGGAGGAUAUAAUGGUUCAGCAGUGAAAAAUGGUAAUGAAGUGUUGGAAAAAAGCUUCUGGGAGUGGAGCGUUUGCAUAUCAAUAUAUUGCUGCUUUAAUGGGGAUGGUUUCUUAAUGUUAAUGGGCCUGGUCAUGAUUUAAUGCAAAAGGUGCUGUCUUUAAGCUCUAAGGCAGAAAGUGUGAAGGAAAACCAGAAAAAAAAUAUACAGAUCUUUUGUAUAUAAAGUUAACUUUAAACGUAGAGCUGUGAGUGCAGUGGACAAAAAAUGGAUGCAUGAAGAGAUAUAACAAAGAACCCCAAAUAGGUUUAAUAGUUAAAGUGUAGGCAAAACAAACAGUCAAGUAAAACAACCUUCAGAUCUGAAUAGGUUGUAGAAUUUCUGGUCAAGUGAUGUAAAGAAAAGCUAGAAUGGUCUGGAAGACUGCUUGUCCUCCUUGUGCUGGAGCUGUAGUGUGAAGUUGGUGCCUGGCCAGCUUUUGUCAAAGCAAACUUACAGCCCUCUUAUUUGGCCACAGUUCAUUGUUGGAUAUAGCUGGGAUUAUCCUAACUGGUUUACCCCUGCAUAGCUGAUCCAAUGAGCUGCUUUAGGAUCCUAAAUAUUGUAGUAGCUCCUAAAAGAUCAUCCUUUUCUCUGGAUUGGCUACCCAUAGUAGGAGCUCAAUAUGAUGGACUAUUUCUUCUGCAAGGAAGGUAGAAGACGUUAAGUCUGUUCAGCUAGUUGGCACUCUCUUCUAUCCUCCUGUGUCUGUCUGCACUGCCUGUCUUUCCCUGCAAAGCUAAUCUUACGUACAACAUGGCCGUCUUGCUUUGCAUGACCACAUAUGCAAGAAGGAAUGUAUGAUGGUGCAGCAGAGAUGAGUUACAGCAUGUGCUGAACAUAUACAUCUUUCUCAAGUUUCCUUGCUAAUUUGUGAUUGUAUACAAGUAAAAAUUAUUUAAGAGGAUUUUUCCAUAAUGGUUGGCGUCUCCUAUCAGAAUGAAUUAAAUUAUUCUGGAGGUCAGACGCUCUUCAUAUUUGUUUCCUAUGUAUACUAUUAGGAAUUUUCUGUUUUUAAGUGCCAUGUCAUCAUAUGGUUAUGCCUAUAGCUAAGAACUAUACAGUGUCUGGGUAGGGGAUCUGUAGCUGCUUUGCUUCCCUCACUCUUUCAGUAUACGCUGUGUUAAAGAACUCAUACCUUUUAGGCUCUGUUCUCCUCUUGGUGUGAAGGAAAGUAUGUGCACAAGUGCUGUGAAUGGAAAUGGAAUAUUACCUGGGAGUAGAUGUUCGACCCACCUGCAUCCCCACGUUAUGUUGAAGUGCUCAGUGCUGCAGAACCAGGCUGAAGGAACAAGCAGGCUGUGCUUAUUUUAGGAGAUAAUGGGCUAUUUGCUACACAGUGCGUUCAAAUGUAAUCUCUUUAUUGUCAUUCUGAGCAUUGAAUAGUUCACUAACCAUAUGGUAUUUGCAGUGAAAUGCCACCCAAAAUAGUCUAUAAAUAUUUUAUGGUGCCUGGCCUGGUAAGGGGUAAGAAAUCUUUAAAGCAGAGUGUGCUGCCUUGUUUGUACCUCCUGCCUGACUGGCAGGCAAACAGCAACGGGUGAAGCUACAGCAGUGUGUUCUCUUAUAAAAAUGUGGUGUGCUCUGAUGCAGACUCAAUCAAAAAUAAAUCUGUCCCAGAACAAAGUGCCACAUCCGGUAAUGCAAUGUUAGUGGUCAUUAGAAUCAUAGAACCGUAGAAUCCUUAGAGUUGGAAGGGACCAUUAAAGGCCAUCUAGUCCAUCUCCCCCACAAUGAUCAGGGACACCACAGCUAGAUCAGGUUGCCCAGGGUCUGAUCCAGCCUGGCCUUGAAAGUCUCCAGGGACAGGACAUCAAUCACAUCUCUGGGCAACCUGUUCCACUCCCUCACCACCCUCACUGUAAAAAACUUUUUCCUUAUAUUCAACCUAAAUCUUCCCUUGUUUAGUUUGAAACCAUUUCGCCUUGUUUUAUUACAACAGAUCCUGCUACAGAGUCUGCCCCUUUCUUUCCUGUAGCUCCCCUUUGGAUAUGGAAAGGCUGCUGUCAGGCCUUUUCUCAUUCUUACACCUGCAUAGCUCUGCUUAUGUGUAUGUGGUUGUGUGCUUGUGGUCUCAGGAGGUAGAACACAAGCUCGUGAUUUGGCAUAUUUGCUGGUAGGGAUGUGUGCUGUGAAAGACAGUGUUUUGUUGGCUGAAUGUUUACUUCCUUCCUGGAUGGAUUACUGAAGAGAAAUGUGAGAAAACAGUCCUAGCUUUACUUUCUAAGCCUCUCAAAUACAGAAUAAUAGAGAAGUAGGGCUGGAAGACAUGAAGAACUUGUUCAGUUUAUCUCCCUGCUUCAAGGAAAAAGUCAGCUCUACAUAUUUCUCCCUAUUUCAGACAGUGUUUAUCUAAUGGUAUGGAGGCUGUGAACUUCAAAUGCCCAAAUCCAAGACUAGAAGCUCAGUGAAGCGAACUGCGAAUAUUGUUAUAAGUGACUACAUGUGCUGCUUUUGAAAAAUGGAUCAAGGGAAACCAGUGUAGCUACUGUGAGAUCCCCAAGAUAAACUGGGACUGCCUGAGAUGCAGAUCCAGCUGAAUGGAUUUCUGCUGGGUGAAGAUUGAACUCGACAUAAAUGUGAUUUUAAAGGCUUCCUAUGAUGAAAGAUUCACCUACUCACAUCCGUGAUCUUCUGAUAGCUAAUGUGAACAUUUUCAAUUGUAGUGUAACAAAGAAAACCCCAAACCACAGUAUGCUUACUCAGUUAUUGUGCUGGGUAAUAGAGUGUGAGCAAGCUGGUGUGAAAAGACUACAAAGGACUUAAGUCUGAAGCUGUUAAAUUCUUGUUGACGCUUGCUAACUGAACAGCAGCAAGAAAGAUGCAAGGACAGCAUGGGGGAUAGUGCAGAAAUAUGAGAGGUUAUGCUUUGGAUUAGUUUUCAAACUUGUGCUGCCUCAGUGUUAGCAUGAGGCUCUAUGUCAGGUUGUUGAGGUGUCACCGGCAAUGGGCCAGAGUUAGCGUCAGUAGCGGUCGCCAUCAGCUCCAUGUCAGAGCAUGUGUGCAUUUCUGACUUUCCCCCACUAGCAAAAACCCUCCCACAGGAUUUGCAGGGCCAGAAAUAUGUGUUCCCAUGGGUAUUCAGGGACAGUGAAUGGAAUAAACGUAGAAAACCUGAACCUGUAAGCUUGGCAAGCUACCCCAAGAUCAGCACAUCAGCUUGGCAGCAGCGACUGAGGGGAGACUUACUUGCUUAAUUAAGUGUCUCUGUAUAUUCAGAUUGAAGAGUUAUGGCAGCAGCAUGCCAUGGUUUUUUUUUUUUUUUUUAAUUCAUUUAAUGUCUGUGGUUAUAUCUGCAUUGUUUUUUCCACUCCAAGAUGCCUGUUUUCAGCUUCCUGGACUUUUAAUGUUCUGCUCUUCUUUCUAAAUUUUAAGGUGAGGGGGAGGAGUGGGGAAAUAAGUUUCAAGCAGGUUUUCCAUAAAGAAAAUUUGAAAAUCAGGUGGGAAGAAUUCAUGUUCUCAUUCACUCUAGCAGUGCAUAAAGGUGAACAAAGUCAGAACUGGCAAAAGGAGUAGGUAGGACAGACCUUCACAAGAAAUGUAAUAUAUAGUCCUGGUUCACUAAACUGCAGUGCAUGUUUUAUAAAGCUUUGCCUCAUUAAUGCAAUUGUUUUUUAAUUACAGUGUGUAAGUCCUAUAAGGGUGAAGAACUGCCCUCAGUAUUAGGUAGCCUUCCAGGAUGCGAUGAUGAUGUUCAGCAUUUUUCCUCACAACACAUAUUACAAAGUGGGGAGGCAACAAGGUGAAGCAGCUCUAUUUCCUGACAUAAUCCACCUCUAAACCACCUCCUGCCAUGUUUAGCCCAUGGAAAACCCUUUCUCCCUUCCUGUUUCCCCUUCCACCCUUGAAAAUGACCAGUGUCCCCAUUCUUCAUUGCUGUGUUACUGCUCCACGUCUGCAUUUGAUCUCUGCUUUUAAAUAUGACUGACCUCGUGCAGAAUCUUGAUCUGAUUUUAUUCUGUUAUUUUGGAGUGAUAACUGUGCUCAUAGUGGCGUGUCUCCUACUUUGCUUCUGGAGCCUUUCAGCUGGCACCUAGGAAAUAGAAAGGGUCUACAAGCUUCGCAAUUACUCCUCUCUUGAGGACACCAUUUCCUUUGAUAGUCUGUUUCCUGCACACUUUCUUCCUUCUUCAAAGGAAGCAGUCCUUGCUAUUGUAGUGUGUGCAUAUAGCUCUUCCUCCAGUUCUACCAUAAGGUCAAGCACCUAGCAGAACAUUUUGCUCAUCUUACUUCUAGUGCUGUGUAGUGCUUAAAGAAAAGGUAUGAGCACUGGGCUUAAAGCCUUCUCUUCAGUUAAGUCAAUGACAAACAGGGGAGUGGGACCAGACCAGAGAGGAGGAGGUACAGUAACAAAGUAAGAAGGAACUGACUGGGAAGCUUGGGAAUCCCAGCAUUGGGAGGCUUAUUAAGACUCCAAUGUGGACAGGUCUGUCCUGAGUUUGCAUGAACUCGGUGGCUAUGUAACCUGACCAAAUGUGAUCUGCCAGGAUUUGUUCCAGUGUGGUCAUUGUGCUGUUGAUUACAGUCCAGUGUUUGGACUGUAAAAACAAGGGUUGCUUUCCCACUGUCUUCAGAGAUCUGAGUUCAACUUAGGUUGUAUGCCUGGGGGUCUGCUGAGAUUGUCUAUAAGCUCUUGAUUUUUCCCUUUCUUGUAAUGAGGAAGGCAGGCCUGAAAACAGACACUUAUGUACAGGUAAAAUGAGGGAAACUAGGAAGACCUUGAUGGAACUGUUACUUCAAAUUCCUCUACCUACAGUAGAACUGUAUGCUUGGACUACCCUGAUCUUUAAAAACUUAAAUGAAGGUGAUUUACAACAUCAGUUUUACAAGAUUUCUUGAAAGAGCAAGGUAAUUUAUUCACCCCAAAUUACAUUUUUUUAGUAAUGAGAUCUAGAUAAUGAUGUUCUGUGUGAGUUGCCUUGGUAACCUACUACUACAGAAUCUUAUGUAGGGCUUGAAAACUUCAGGGGAAAAAAACAAAACAACCCAAACCUCCCAAUUCACAGAAAUGGAUAAAUAAUCAAUACAAAGGGAAAUACCUGGUAGGAAGAAGGGACAGAACUUUUCUUUCUUACUUUUUUUUUUCUUUCAUCAAAUUUGAGCAGAAAUUAUUUUCAUUGAAGUGGACAGUGGUGGAACUGCAUCCAGUUCAUGUGAGACGAGUUCUUUUUUUCUUUUAGAAAAAUGAAAUUAAGCAAACAGUGUAGCAAAAUUGUGAUGUCUGUUGGUUACCACAUAAUGACCAGAUCAGAAAUCAAGGUCUAGUAUUUUUUUCUGUAUGUGAAGAAGGGAGUGCCCCUAGCUUUACCCUAGGUCUCUUCUCUUCUAAGAAGCAGUGCGUGUUUAUAGCAUAAGACCUAGUGCUUUAUUAAUGGCAAAAAUUGCCUUUUUUUUGGUAGAACACUAGAUCUUGUAGCUUUUGAUGACCCUGUCUUCAGAUUUAGCAGCAUUUCAGGGGUGCUUUCUGUGGGAGAGCUUGAGUGUAUGGUUCCCCAAAAGGUUUUUUCCAUUGGUGAUGAGUUGUUAGAAAGACAGCACCAUGGUGGUGAGGUAGCUGGGGUUGGGCUUUCUCCUCGUUCUGCUGGCUUUGAGGGCAGUGAGUGAAUGGCUGCUUCAUGCUGAGCUGCUGCUGGGUUAAACCACACUGCAGUAAGAUGCUAAAAGCUGUGUUAAGUGCAAAGGGUCAGACCCAGUAACUCUUUCAGACUUAAGCGUUAGGAUCUCUGUGCUGUACAGAAACUAGAAUGCUGUAUAUUUAAAAUAAUGAAUGAUGUAGGAUGGGAGUCAAGCAGUGCUCAUGUGUUGCAGUGCAUUCACAAAACAUUGGUGUAAAAAAAAAUAAAAAUAAUAUUAAAAAAAAAAAUCCAGAGGUGUUUCCCAUCACAAAACCAGUGCAUCCACGAGUGUCCUGUUGCUUAUGUUCUCUUUUCUCUGUUAAGAAAGAAUUCAGAUCAUACAAUAGUAGGAGCCAGUCAUUAAGAUCUGGUAUUUAUUGACAUCUUGCUCAAGCAGUGUGCAGAACAGUUACUAUGACUGCUGAGUGCCUCUCUUUUCAUUAAUAGGUCUGUAGCUUUUCUUCUGCAGAGAGGAUAAUAACUUCUGUGUCGGGAAUUAAGCUGAUAUAAUUUACUCCAGACUCCUGUCAGUCCCUUCAAUCCCUCAGCUACUCUUGCGCAUUUAUCAGCUGCUUCUGAUGGUGGUUUUUCUUAGAAUCAUAGAAUUGCUCAGGUUGGAAAAGACCUUAAAGAUCACUGAGUCCAACCACAACCUGACCAUAUUGCCCUAACUAACAACCCUCUGCUAAAUCAUGUCCCUGAGCACCACAUCCGAGCGGUUCUUAAACACACCCAGGGAUGGUGACUCAACCACCUCCCUGAGGAGCCUAUUCCAGUGCUUAACAACCCUUUCUGUAAAGAAUUUUUUCCUGAUAUCCAACCUGAACCUCCCCUGGCACAACUUGAGGCCAUUUCCCUUCAUCUUGUCACCUGUCACCAGCGAGAAGAGACCAGCAUCACUCUCGCUGUGAGCACCUUUCAGACAUUGGAAGAGAGCAAUAAGGUCUCCCCUCAGCCUUCUUUUCCUGAGACUAAACAGCCCCAGGUCCUUCAGUCUCUCCUCAUAGGGCAUGUUCUCCAAGCCCUUCACUAGCCUUGUUGCCCUUCUUUGGACCUGCUCCAGCACCUCAAUGUCCUUUCUGUAUUGAGGCGCCCAAAAGUGAACACAGUGUGGGGCUUUGGCUGCUCCCUUUUUAAACUGUCACUACAAAGGCUAAGCAGGUGGGUUAGCAAAUACAUGAAAUAAGUUGUUCAUCUACCUAAAGUAGCAGCAAAGACUAUCUGUUUUCAGUGCUGUUACAACUACUUCCAAAUGAGGAGUAUGUGUCAGUAGGGUCUUGCUUAUGGGCUAUGUUUGUGAAGUUGAAUUCUACUCUUGCCUGUGUAUGUUAGAUACUCCAAAGUGAAAUUUCAUUUUUGAUGUUAGUGUUCAGAGAAGAUCACUGACUAGAAAUGAGAAGGGCUAUAAGAUGUAGUGGUGUUUUGUUUGUUUGGUUUGUUUUUUUUUUGCAAAUGGAUGCAAGUAGUACUUUAGUGCAUUCUGUCUGUAAAUACCAAUUAAAUCCUUCUGUGAGUUAAAGAAAUGCUGUGUGUUCAGCUUGUUAGAAGGAGCGAUCAGAGUUCUUCAGCUUUAGUGUGGCAAUUAAAUUCAUAUUAACUUUACCACAGUGAAGUUUGAUGAAUUCAUGUCCGUGUAUUGGAGUCAAGCUGACAACUUCGUUGCUUCGAAACACAAAUGAAAGUAUAUAUUUGGUUAAUAACACUGCUAAACAGAGCCUUUGCCAGAAAUGCAAGGAGCAGAGCUACAGGGAAAGUAAGCAACAAUGCAAAUUAGAGAUCCUAUUACAUUACUUGUUUCAGUACCUGGUUUAUUGCUAUCCAUUAAAGCUUGUGAAGAAAAUUAUACUUGUCUGUGAUGGCUCUUGAUUUUCAUUGAUGACUUUGUAAUUGUAACAGGAACCGAUAAUUUGUGUUCACUCAGCACUAGAUUCCGAAUGUUCUUAUCUAAUAAUUCACAUCAAAUUCAAAUAAAUUAAGAGGUGUAUUUUCUCACACUCAAAUUAUUUGGUUUAUAAAUCAAUUCUACAGCGUUAAUUUAUCUGAGGAUAAAGUACUCUUUUCUUCCAUGUCCUAUUUAACAUUGAGAAUUGCCAAACACGAACAUUCCUUCCAGGAGUGUCCUGCAGCAAAACCACACAGCAUUCUCUUUUCUUCUGCCACUAAUCUUCUAUCAGCUUACACAGAUAAGGGAAAGCAAAUUUUUGAAGGGCUUGAGCUGGAAAGGAAGGAUGCCCAUAUGCGUAAAGCUACACAAAUACUCCACUAUUUUGACUGUCUCACACAAGCUGUUCUUUAAUAUCAUUUAACUGGCUAAAUGUUAGUAGAUCACGUCUGUGUAAUGAAGCAUUAAAACUAAGAAUGUGGACUUUCCUAAUCUUACGAGCUAAGGGUUCUAAAUGCCUUGCAGAAGUCGUUAGCAUUAUGCUGAGUUAAGCUUCUGUUAAGCUUCUACCUAAUGCUCGUGAUGGAAAUCAGAAUGCAUCUUCUGUAAAUAAAUCUUUUUUUCCUCUCCCAUUUAGGUUUGCUAUAGCAGACUGCACUUAAAACAAACAAACAAAAAAAAAACCCCAUCAACCAACAUCAGCAACACCACAGAGUUAUUAGAUGUUAACAAGAUCACUUUAUGCAGUAUUCAUAAUUUCUGAUGAUAUCUUAAGUACUUGUUAGCCAUUGGAGAUGAUUGUAUGUCUGUACUGGUUCAUCUGGAAGGAGAGAGAAAGGCGCAAUCAGUCCAGAUAAUACAAUAUCAUAGCAAUAAAUUGCAAGCUUAAAAUAACAGGUUUAAUAGAGAUCUCUAAAUACAAAUAAAAAUAUCAUCAAUUGUUUUGCUAGGUAGGACCUGACUUGCACGCCCUUCAUUUUCUAUUUGUGCAACUUUCCUGAUGUGACCUGAUGAUGGCUUAUAUUGACAUCAAUUUAUUUGCUGGCAACCCAUUUUGUCUGUUUGAAUCACCCAUCUUAUCAAGAUAAUUUUCUGUUGUUGCAAUGAUGCCUCCUGACUUGAAUGGAAUAAAAAGGUAAGGGGGAUGCUCGAGAUGCGAGGGCUUUUCAUCCUAUAUGUUUUGCAAGUUUCAAGGUAUAUUUGCAGAUUAAACUCCUGAGAAUCUCAGCAAGUCAGAAUCGUGUUUGUAUGCACCUCUACUGCAAGAAUAUAAAGGAAGCAAUGGGUGCAUUUUUGAAGAAGUUAUAUAUUGAGUUUGGAAACAAUGUAAAAUCAGAAUUAUCAUUCCUCUCAUUUGUUCUAAAUAAUCAAGUGCAGUUAAAGCCCAAAUCAUGUCGUAUGACCUUUUGUUUUAAUUCAGAACAGUUUGAUUGGCAGCCCAUGUUGUGACUGGAUGUAAAACACUUUGUGAGUUCUGGCCUUGCUUGGAGGGUGGAGGUAAAGAAAAAUGGUUUGUGCACUGCACAAAGACCAGAACUGUCAAACCAUCCUCGUGUAACUGCGUAGGCCUUAGUACUAAGGUCUGUGAAGCGCCCACUGCACCUAUGGGUUUCUGGCCCUGCAAAAUGCCAAGCUUAGAGCAUGGCCCAUGAUGGUUCCCAGAGGUGAUGUGCCUUGCAAGAGCAAGGCUGUCCUAUUACAGCUGAGUGUGUGCCUUGGCUGCACAGCUGAAAUGAGUGGCUUUUACUCUAGCAAUCUUAUAGUGGUGGGUUUAAGAAAUCAAGGUGGGAGCAGAGAAGGAAUGAGGAGUAAGUGUUUGAAAAAGAUGAUACAGAGGCUGCACAUCCUAAAGAUAAAGAAACUAGAGAAGCAACCAGAGCUACUGGCAGUGUAUAAAGGCUGACAUCAGACCACAGUUCACAGGACUCCAGCUGUGUGUUUCCAUAUUGCUGAAAUGAAGGACUAUUUCAAACCUACAAGGAAAUUACUAUAUCACAUUCAGUUGCAUUUUUUCCUUCUUCAACUUUCAUCGUAAUAUUUAUUAAGGAAUAAUUAUUAUUUUCAGAAAACUAAUUCUGAUGUUUGCUUUGCUCAGUUAGUCUGUUGGUGCAGUUGUUGAGACUUGGAGAGCAAAAGGGAAGCAAGGGUGGUUUUUCAGUGUUGUCUUUCCAUGACCAUGUGCAUCUAGGCUGGGCUGCUAGUGAAGUAUAGAUUUAGUUAUUGUUGAGCUGAGUUCUGCUUUGUUUGCUGAUUCAUAGUUCUGGGAUUAUUUAAAGAUGAAGCAUUCAUGUGGAAACUGUAUGACUUCUGUACUAUUCCUUGUUCUCAGAAGUGUGUACGUUACUGUCUGUGAGAACGAUGCUGAGUAUCUUGAUGUACAUGCAUAUGCAGUGUUCUUGGCUAUGCAGCCACACAGAUGGGGCCAGAUGGGGGCUAACUUGAGGUCUGCUAUAUGAAAGCAGAUGACUGUGUUGGGGCCGUGAAGAAUCAAAUUUUUGCUGAGAUGGUGAAGGGCGUAGCAAACACCAGACCAGUUGGCAAUGUUUAAUAUUGCUCAGAUUCCUUUGCACUGUACUUACUGUAAGAGUUCCAGUAAAGGUCUCUAUGAAUUGAGUGCAUACUCAGAUGAAACAGGCUCUCAGAUUAGACAGAAUGUAAUUUUCUUUUAACUCUUUUUUCAGAGCUCCGUAUUUGUCAAAAAGACCAAAUGUAUUCAGUGGGAGAAUUAAUAUUCAAUCUUUCUAUCUUUCCUCUCCUCUAUGUCUUUUCGUUGAUAUUGUUCAAAGAAAGUCCAGACCAAAAUGCUGGUUUCAGCUCUGUUGCGGAAAGGAAUCAGAGCCCUUUGUUACUAGGCCAUACAGAGACGUUUCUGUGGUACAUCUCAAAUCACAAACCUUAGUGUGAUGCAGCAACUUGAAUUUCUGCUGUGAGACUUGUACUGAUGUGUUUUAGCUUAAGGCAAACAACAGCAUUUAACCUUUGAGCUUAAGCACAAUGUAGUCUGAAACAGUUGUGAUGCGGCUAGGUAGGCAGGAGGAGGUGUCCUGGUAUGUUACUACGAUCAGAGAUGUGUUCAGUCCUGUGGCAUUGAUGUUCUCAUUUCUGCUUCUCUGUGUCAUGUGUGGGCAGGGCCUCUGUGUUGUAUAGGACUUGUCCACCAGUGUCUGAGGGCAAGCAAGCUGCUUUUGUGAAGCCCAGUUAGGUCAAUCUGUGGUACAACCCUGUUCAAACAUAAGGAUGUUUCCACUGUGAGUAAGCAUGGUUGUGAAACGCUUGCCAACUUGUGAAGAUAAAGGCUCAGUGAAUGAGACAGUCUCAACUCCCACUCGUACUAUUGCCCUGGAUGUUUGCCUAGUUUCCUUCCUGUGAUCCAAAUCUGUGCUUGGGGAUGCCCUGAUUUGCAUAGCAUUGAUACGGUCGACUUUGUAGCUUAAAAACCUCUUGCUUGCUGCAACUGAUAUUCCUCUUCUCUUCUUAUGUUUUAUACAAAUGGGGGAGGCACUGCAAAGGCCUGCUGUGUGUGGGGAGGCACUGGGAGCAGAACCAGUUCAAGCAUUGCCUCCUGUGACAGGCCAGGCUGUCCCCAUGUCUGUCUGGGGACAAAGUGCCAUCCGUCCUGCAGCAUCUGCAUUGUUUGCAGUUCUGGAGAGGCCUGGGGGUAAGAGGGUCUCCAGGCCCCCCAGGCCUCCUUCUCAAAAGGAAAGCUUUUUAAGGCUGAACUUUGAUCUGCGUGUCUGUUUGCAUGGAGGGAAAAUGUAAAAAAAGGCUGGAGAAGCCCCGAGUUCUUGGGGUGGGAAUAAUGUUGUUUGGGUUUUUUUCCAGUUGUUUAAAAAAUUUGGAAUUUAGAGUCAAAAUAUAUCUUGGAUUUAAAUCUGAGAUGGGAGCUGAUUUGUAUAGUGAAGCUAAGACCACUACAGAUUAACUACUAUGAAGGUCAAGAUGGAUGGUUGCUAGAUACGGAGAUAGAAAUGGUAACAUUAAAACAGUUUGCUAAUAGCAGGAAUCAGAAAUCAAUAUACAUUAUAAUAUAAAGCCAUGUGUAUCAGGCGACUAUAGCUGCUCUCACCAUACGCUGGGAGGUGAGCAGCAUUGCUUGAAUAGCAUGUUACCAUGUUGCAGAGUUGCUAUGGCAAUAUCAAACCAAUGAAUAAACCACAUCAGAGAGACAGGGAGGUGAGUAAGUGUGAAAUUGAUUCAGUUCAACACAGGAAUAUGUGGGAGCCAAAUUGGUCAAGAUAGAAACUGUGGUAGGAAAAUCUAUUUCUUUGCAUGUUUUUAAUAUAUUAUUAGAGUGACUUUUAAAGAUGAGAUCUUUCAGAUAUUUUCUUCACUACAAAGUCUUAUGUAUCUUCAUGUGAUGGUAUUUGUAUAUUUCAACAUAUAUAAUGCAUUUGAGAAAUGUAUCUGUGCACAAUGAAUACAGUUAAAUAUAAACUACAUAAUAUUUUAAAAAGAAAUGAAAGUAGUUGGUAGUGAUAUAAAACAAAGGUGAGGUAAAUGAACUUGAGUAUGAGUUGUGUUAUCAGUUGCAAGCUAAUAUUGUAGAAGUUGUUUUUGAAAGCAUGUUUUCAAAUAAAGGACAAGUUUAAGCAUGAUGUAUUUCUAAACGUGAAGUACAGUGAUAAAACAAAUGUCCCGGAGACUGUAUGUGUCUGGAAUAGCACAUGGAUGUAACAAAAGAUAGAUAUCUGUGCUUUAUAGAUGGAUAGCACAAAUACUGAUCAAGCUUCAUUGCACCGUUUUGUGAAUUUUGUGACCUACAGUAUUUGGAAUGUCUUAGAAAACUGGUUUUUGUUUAUCGUAUUUACUUUAAAACAUUCUGAGAAGGGGAUGAUUAUUAUAAGGUGUGUUAUUAUCAGUAUUUUUCUGUUACUGAAGGAAAAAAAGUACAAAUACACAUCAGUCAUCUUUUUAAUUAGGGUUUCUGUUUUACUAAUUCAUUUUAGUGCAGUUGGACCGGAUGACCAAAUGAUACAGAUUUGAGGCUUGGGAAAGGUCCUUUUAUAGAGGACUAGAAGGUGGGUUUGUUGCAUCUCAGUUAUGAAUGUUGCAAAUUGAUACUUCUUUGUGUAGGAUGUAAUGAAACCUAUUUUUGGAACACUUUUUAGGCUCUGUUAUUUUGGGGCAGUAGGUGUGCUUCUGUUAGGUUCAGUGCUUGCAGUUCUGAAGGUAGUAAUUCAGUCUAAACUUACUGUUCAUUUAUAGCUUAACAUAAAUCCGACAUUUUCCACAUGCUUUCCUGUAUUCACCCCUAUUAUCUCUGAGUGUAUUUUACUAUGACCAAGCAGACUACAUUUCAUUUGCUAAAGAAGAAAGUAUAUACAACAGCACUAAGUUAAAUAGCAUGCAGUUAAUUUUUUUUCAAAUGUCAGAAAGAUCUUGUCAAGUACAGUCAAUACAGUGUAUUCUGUCUAACGUAUCAGUCACGUAAAAGCCACUGUGCUACUGCUGUGGUUUCUUUAGUCUGAAUUAGAUCCGCAUAGCUCAGUUUAUUUACAAAACAACCAAUAUUUCUUUGUGCUUACCCUUCUGGCCUAAGUUCUAGAGAACAGUGUUUGCCAGAAUAUUGGCCGAGAAGUUACUGACUAUGGUUUUCACCUGGGGAUGCGAUGAUAAGGCAAAGGAAAACAUGGGGCAAGUGUUGGCUGCACAUUGUGCUCACUGAGAGCUUUUAGUGAUCUCAAGUUUUAAGGAUGGGAGUGAAGCUUUUGUGUGACACAGUAACAUCUUUAGCUCUUCAGUCACUCUUUUUCUUGCAUUUCCCUACAAAUGUUAAGCUCUGUUCCCUAUGUAAGGUUCAUGUGAUGGCAAGCAGCUGCAUCUCAAGAGAUUGUUCAUUUUUGCUGUACUAAAUGUGAACAGAAUUUCCAACUUAUUUGAACAAACCUACAGAAAUCAAGGUUAAACAGAUGCAAAAACAAGUAAUGUAGGCCAGAAGCAAGUUUGUUUUACACUGUGUGUGCGUGAAGUAUUUCUCACUUCUUAUAUCUGUACACUCUACUUUUUGAAUUAUUGUUCAAAAUACUCAGAAGCAGUUUUUAAAGCCAGACUUCCCAGCGAGAAAGGGCUGAAAAACCUGCUUCUGGGGCAGGGAGGAAAGAGGUAGAAAAGAGGUUCUUUUCUACCUCUUGGUAGAAAAGCUACCUCUUGUGGCCUAUUGGAGGCCACAGCUGCAUCCCAGGUGAAGUGUGUUGUUUUGUUUUUCUUUUUCUCAGUGAUGCACGUUGCUUCAGCUUUUGUAUUUCAGCCUUUUGUCUGCUAUGAAAUGAUAUGGCGUAAGCUAGCUGCCCUGCAUGGGAAGCCAAAAGUGGCUUUCCAUCCCCAGCCAUCAAUGGAAAGAAGCAUAUCAAACCAGUUGUACCUCCUUUUAGAAUCACAGAAUCGCCAAGGUUGGAAAAGACCUUCACAAUCAUCCAGUUCAACCAUCCACUUACCGCCAAUGUUUCCUCACUAAACCACAUCCUUUAGUAGCACAUAGAAAUGUUCCUUGAACACCUUCAGGGACAGUGCCUCCACCACCUCCCUGGGCAGUCUGUCUUCCUGCACUCCAAACCAGUUCCAGAAGAUCCCUGAUGGUACACUUUGUGAGAUUCAGGAGAAGUGCCACUUUGAGUAGAUUUCUCAACUUCCUUUUGUACAGAAGUCAGGCACUGAUGUCAUCUUGUCCGAAUUACUCUUCUCAUCUAAUCUUUGCAUUUGAGGUUGGUCUUGCCUUUCUCCAUGCUGUGUGCCAGUGAAGGGCACUGGGAGCAGUGGGAGAACCCGGGUCCCUUUCCACAGCAUGCACAGGGGUGAUGGGGGGUUGGAGCUUGUUCAGUGCAAGUGGAGUUCUAUUGAGCACUGAUUCUUCUGAAAGUUACAGCUGAACUGAAAUGUUUUCAGAGGAUUGUUAACUUCAUUGGAUAUAUAGCUGUGUGUAUGACACAUUGUUGUGUCAUAAAGCAACUUCACAUACACUGGAAGUCCUUGCCUCAAGUACAAGUCAUUGUUUUCUAUGUGUUCAGACUGUAAUUUCAGAGGUUUUAUUUUUUUGGUAUAUGGAAAAGAGAGGUUGAAAAUAGUCUGACAAUGAGAUUUUCUUCAUAGAAGGAACUCCAUCUCAGCCUUUAAUUUGAGCCUGUUGGUUUCUAGAAUUAUAAUAUUGUGCUGUCGCUUUGUAUUUACCUUUUCUUACCAUCUACUAUCUUCAUGUGGCUUUUUUUUUUUUUUUUGUAUUUCUUCUUCAGUUUUGGGUCAAAAGUAAGUUCUCUCCCUUUUGUCUCUGUUUUUAUGUUUGUUUAUUUUUAUACCUGAGGGCUGGGGCUCUUCUGGGAGAGUCUCUUAACACCUUUCAUAUCUUCUUUGGGGUUGAUGAGAGUCUUUUUCUAGUAUUUGGGGAUAUCUGGCUCCACCUUGAGAAUAAAAGUUGCCGUGGCUUCUUUGUAGGUUUCAGGAUUGUGUAGCUAUUCAUUUGCAAGAUCUCUUAUUGCAGCCCUUGGUGCCAGCCACCACUCUUUCCUGUAAAGUUGCCUGUGGUUUCUCUUUGAGGCAGCUAGUUUCCUCCAUCAUUCUUCUGUGCAUCUGUUUGGUUAAUACUGUAUUUUCGCAAGCUUUUCAGAAAAGCUCCAUUGCCCUCAAUUAAUGUCUGUUUCUUGAAGGGCCACACUAGCAGUUGAUUUAAUUAAUUGAUACAACUAUUCAGAAUUAUUUUGUGCCACAAUCUGCCACUUAUAUCUAUGAGUUGAUUGUUCCUGCAGAAACUAUUAUCUUUUUGUAUUGUAUUGCAGUACUUUAAACUGAAUAAAAGCAGAAGAGUGAAAUAUGUGAUAAAUGUUGGAGGUGGGAGUACAGAUACAGCAACAAUGCCUGCCUUCUCUGUGGCAGUUUAAAAAGAAUCAAAGUGUGGCAUUCUGGGUCUUGUGAGUGAAUCAUGCUUGUGACACUAUCUGGUGGU